rfam:Dipodomys ordii contig_43374, whole genome shotgun sequence.
GGGAAUGUGGCUUAGGGUAGAGUGCUUGCCUAGUAUGCAUGAAGCUCUAGGUUCAAUUCCUCAGUACCA